GAGCUUGAGGGAUUUGGCAUAAGGUAAGAUCAGUACUUUCCAAUAUACGGUUUCUGUACACUUUGUUUACUUUUCUUAGGAGACAGGUAUAGUUUCUGUUAUCCUGCAUGCCUUAGUUUUUUGGUGCUCUUGCAUGAAAUUUUGCUUCCUCAUCUUUUCCUUCCUUAUAAUAAACUCAUUUGAAACUAGUUUGGAUAGCAUGUGCAAGUCAC
rnacentral:misc_RNA from 1 species